GGGAUUUCGCGACCGCCAAAAAAUGGCUACUUCAUAGGCACUUAAGAAUCUUGCAAGAGCCGGCCUGUCAAGCCGGAGAUCGCGGGUUCAAAUCCCGUCGGGCCCGCCA
rnacentral:tRNA from 1 species